UCGACUGGAAACAGUCCCUGCUCUUUCGGGUAGGGGUAAGGCUCGUCUACAUAUUACCCUCCCUAGACCCCACUUUGUGGGAUAUUACUGGGUAGUUGUUGUUGUUGUUGUUGUUUACUCCUAAUGAUGAAAUAGUUAUUGCAUUACAUUUAAUAGAUUGAUGUAUUUUAAAAUAACAGAUAAUGAAUGAAAGUGACGCCCGAUAGUGUAAUUUUACUGUCUAAUUUGUUCACUAACUUAAAAAAGAAUAUGAUAACGGAAGGAAACAAAAAUUUUAAGUGACUUAAGCAGUUAGCUAUUUACUUGGGCUGAAGCAUUAAUUUAAGGGGAUUUACUCUUUAAUAAGUUAUACUAUAAUAUUGAUAAAAAUUAUAAUUUAUUCAACUGAUACAAAUAGGGAUUUACUCUUUAAUAAGUUAUACUAUAAUAUUGAUAAAAAAUAUAGUUUAUUCAGUUGAUACAAAUAAACUAUUUUAUGUCAAUAACACGUCCAUUUUAAAUAAAGAGAACGAAAUGAAAGAAAAUCUAAACGGAGUGGGGCAGGGCAAAAAUUUGGAAAAAGACUAAAAGGAACAUGGCAGGGCGGGUGAAAAUUUUAGCGGGUUAAGGCUUGCCCCGCGGCGCCCCGCGCCAACUGCCAUCUCUACUCCUAAGAGGAGUCAUUGUUUUAACGCAUGCCUUAAUUGCCAUUACUACUCAAAUGCUUAUUAGUAUUUCACUCCUCCCUUAUCUACUUAAUGACUUUGUAUAAUUAAUGCACAAUUAACAAUUUUAUUCAUUAUUUCUGAAACAAAACAUACUUAUUCCCACUCUUACCAUAUAAAUUAGAUCCUGCUCAAGAAACAAUUUCAGUAUUCUCAAAUCAUACAACAAUAUUCACUAUUUUUGUUCUCUUUUGCAUAUAUCGUUUCUCUCUAUACCAUGGGAAAUGAUAAUGAUAAUGAAAUUUGUGACAAUAGAGGUACACUCAGACUUGUCACAUGUGAUUUACAAUCAUCACGUUUAAAAACAUAGAAUAUUCACAUGACUAAAAAAACAAAGAAACAAACAACACAUUAAGAUAUGGGUGUAAACUUCAGUAUAGAAUAUUCACAUGACUAAAAAACAAAGAAACAAACAACACAUUAAGAAAUAUGUGUAAAGAUAGACCUUGUAGUGGUUGGACUUAAACUUCAAGAUUGCUGCUACUCAACAAUUAAACCAAGAGCAGCGACAGAAAUCCUAAACAUAACUCCAAUCAACAAGGAUUUCAGACCGAACAAACUGGACGUGGAUCGGAACCCCAUCGGCGACCUCAAAUGGACCUCAAAUCAGAAGCUUCGAACGGAUACCCCAUGAAAUCUCUUUUCGAAACCAGAAAAUUAAUUCAAGCAAAGAAAAUAAACAGAGACGAGAGGGUGGGGAUGCUACUACUCGUUGUUCUCAAAGGCGUUCAAGGUCCAAAAAUGGUGGAAUUUCGGCUGACUUUCAUGAACAAAAUGAAUUUCCCGUUUUUGUCUAACUUUGAGCUCAGAUCAUUUUUACUCAGCUGCUGCUUCUUUGGUUUUCGCUGGUUAGGGAUGGGGAGCUAUGAGGACGAUAACCUCAGCGGGGGUGGAGUCAUUUUUUUAUCUUCUGCUGCACUCCUCCUUUUUGCUCCCCUUGUUGCUUAGGUCUAAGUUCUAUUAUAUAGAUUUGAGUCUAGGGUUUUAGGAUUGGGUAAUGGGCUUGAGAAAAUUUGGAUCUUAAAAACUAGUUGGACAAUUUUAGAAAUUGGCCAAAUUUUAAAAUAAAC
rnacentral:lncRNA from 1 species